rnacentral:rRNA from 1 species
CCCCGAGGAAAAGAAAUCAACCGAGAUUCCCCCAGUAGCGGCGAGCGAACGGGGAGCAGCCCGGAGUCUGAAUCAGCUUGUGUGUUAGUGGAACGGUCUGGAAAGUCCGACGGUACAGGGUGAUAGUCCCGUACACGAAAACACACUUGCUGUGAACUCGAAGAGUAGGGCGGGACACGUGGUAUCCUGUCUGAAUAUGGGGGGACCAUCCUCCAAGGCUAAAUACUCCUGACUGACCGAUAGUGAACCAGUACCGUGAGGGAAAGGCGAAAAGAACCCCGGCGAGGGGAGUGAAAAAGAACCUGA